AACAAAUCCUGCCGAAGGUGUAUAUGUUCGUCUUUCUGAAGAAUAGAUAUGAGAAGAUAGAUUAAUUCUAGGCUUUGUUCUUUUAAUCCUUAUUGAGAAACCUAGCCCUAAUCUUUUUAUCCUCUUUUCUCUUUAACCUUGCGUCGAUCUCAAACUCUGUAAAGAAGUAGUUGUUUCGAGAAGGAUUAAUCCAUAGCUGGUUCUAAUGGGGAUUGUCGAAUCCAGAAUCUGAUGUAUCUGAUCGUAAUAGUGUUGAGAAAUCUGUUUACUUCUUCAUCGAAAUUUCAGAUGAAACUGAAGAGGGAAUCAGAGCGGAAAUGGAUAUGGGUUUGUCGAGAUAAGGGUUAUUGAGAACUGAGAUUGAUGAUUAAGUCAAAAUAAUUGAAAAUUUUCAGAAUCUAGGGUUUGGUUUUGGGAAGAGCAGCUGAGGCUGUGUCUGAAUCGGUAAGAAUGAGAAUGGGUUAAUUGAAGAUGGGGGUUUGAGAGUUCUUGGAUGAUGAUAAGAGUUGGGUUGAGCUCGAUUUGCAACCAGAUGAAGAAAUCAAUUGAGGAAAAAUAUUUCAGGCAGAGUUGGCCAAUUAGUAAAACAUUGUUGGAUGCAAGCCUAUGGAGUAAAUUUAACGAAAUGGCGAUGGGGUUAUUGUUUAUGAUACGUUAAGGGGGUGAUUUAAGAGACGAAGUCGAAUAAGAAAGGAGAUGAAGAGGAUUACCAGAAAAAGGUUGAAUUUCCUCUACCACUCUGGAUUCUCUCCUCUGAACCUCAUACGAACCUAGAUGAUAAUUCCAAUGGAACUUCUUAAUCGAAACCCUCGAAUUCGAAUUCAAGAGCAUACUAACCGCUCAAAACAUACGGAAGGGGAGGUUACUGCCAUUGGAUUGGCAGCGAGAGAAAGUAAGCUAUAAAAGAGAAAAUAAGUCGGUGAAGAAACCCCUUAACCUUAUUCUCUCUUUUAUUCUAAUCUAGGGUAAAUUCUCAGGGGUAGUAAAGAAAGAAUCAGGUCAUUAGUAGAGGGCAGUAAAGAAAACCAUUAAUCAAAAAGGGAAAAUAAACUUGCUGCUACAUUAAUGUCUAGAAAGUAGAUUUACAUUGUCUAGAAAGAAACGGUUGAUUAAUUAAUUAUUAGGUGUGUAAGUUUUGCAAAAGGUACCUCAAGGAGCUUAUCAGGUUAUGAGUGAUCCAACAGAAAGAGAAGCUUAGGAUGGGAAUGUGAAGUAUUGUAUGUCUACGUACCUUAAGAGAAUUUCCAUCUGUAUAUAAUUUAAAAUAUGAGUGGUGUUUCUGUCUUACUGUUGUGCAUAUAUCCACCAUUUAUAAAAAUAUGCAUGUCCCAGUAUUUGGACUGCGAUGGAAAAGCGUUGAAACAGGUGUCAUUUUAUUAUAUUUGGAUGACAGAGUUUUAUCUCAAUGCUUCUCGUAUUCUUCCCUUUAACAGUAAUCAAUGUUCCAUCAUUUUCGCCUCCAGUUUAUCUUGUGUCCAAGAACAAAUUGAUCAUUUGUAUCAAACAUAGGUAUCGAGACCGACCCUCACCUUUUAUGUACAUCUCUUUUGAUUCGUUGAUUUGGUGCUGAAUGCUAAGAUUGAACGUGAUAGUAGAUAGACAACCUGCUUGGCCCAUUGUCUCAGGAACAAUCUAGAUAAAGCAAUCGAAAUCUUGAUGUUACCUUUUUAUGUAUACCCUUAUUUUAUUGGAGGACUAGGGCUUAACCCGUGCCGUAACGGCACGGGCAUAAAUUAUCUUACUGGUGAUUAUAUUUUUCUGGUGUUAAUUUUUUGUUGUCACGUUUCUUAGUACUCUUUUUUGAAAUUUUGUGAUCCCUUGUGUGUAUUUAUCAUCCGGUUUUUUCUUAAGCUUUAAUUAAGGUUCUGGAAGUAUAAAGAUGAAUAAUAUAUAGCUGAAAAUUUCUUGCAUAAAAAAAUAGAAAGAAGAAAAGUUUGUCCUUUGUUUCGUAUGCCCAUUACAUUAGAAAUUUAGAACCAAAAAAAUAAAAAAAUAAAAAAUUAAUCAAACAUGUAGGCGUCUAAACGUUCAUCCCAUCCCGUUCCAACGCAGAAAGUUCGGUAGGGAAUAAGCUUUCCCUACGGUAGUGUGAUUUGACGGUAUGAUUAGUUGGCAGGACCUGUGACAAGUAUAGUACUAUAAAUGGCAUUGAUCAGUUUUCCUCCGUGUCUAUAACCAAGUAGAAGACAACCGAAUCAAUAUUUGGAUAAGUUUUGUACUUUUCU